GCUCCGAUGUGGUGUAGUGGUUUAGGAUUUUGCGCUCUCACCGCAAGGCCUGCGGUUCGAUUCCCGGCCGAUGCA